CCCAUUUGUCUGUAAGUUCUCAUUUUCCUUUAAAGAAACCCAUACUCUAAUCUCAGUUAAUGUGUUAGAGGUGUGCUUUAUGCAAGAAUGAUGCCCUGUGCUCAAAGAAAAGGCCUUGCCCCUAUGUCGAAAGAUUGGCCAAUUGAUGAUAUGUCCUUUUUUUCUUUUCAGUUAAAAUGUUUGUGGAAAAAAGUUCCAGGGACCUUGUUGCUUUAACCUACUUUUCUACAGUCCAACUCCUGGUCCUCUCCUGAGGCAUAAGUUGGCUCGGACUGUACAUAAACUCAGCUCAUCACUACUUUCUGUUGCAUCACAACAAAUAGAGAGCUGUCGCAUGGCCUUUCCCACUGCCAAGCCACACACUGCCUCUUUGUGACUUCGUUUUCACAUCAAGCUUACUGUUGACGUGAGCUUUAGCCCCAUCUCUCCAACUCAACCCCCUUUGCCUCCCAAAUUAACUCUAGAGGGAAUGUGAUUUAUUCCAGGUGCCACAAACCUCACCUGGUAUUUAUAAACUCAUUUACCCAGGGAAUCCUCUGAUAUCCACCCAGAUCUAGAGGAGAUCCUCUGGCAUAGCACCUAGUUCCUUCCCUUCCUUGCUUCAAUCAACACAUAUCAGACACCUAUCAUGUGUUGGGGUCAGCACCAGGCUUUUCAUCUGUGCUCCCUGCAAUGAUCCAACGAUCUGCCACACAACCAGUUCCUUAGAAGAGAACAAUGCAACUCAAAAGAAAAGAAAGUGCUGGCAACAUGGGCGAGAGGGCUAGUAACUACAGGACUUCCCUCCAAUGUCUCUUCCAUGGCAGAGCCUGCAGACAUUGUACUACGUGUCCUUAGAUGAUGAGCUCCCCUGUCAGACUGUGAGAUCCUCUCACCCUUUUGUGUGUCAGCAUCAGCACAGUGGGUUCCUGGCACAGAGGAGAUACCCAGUAAAGAGCUCAUGAAUGAACAAAUAAAAUAAUGGUCCUUUCUGUGAAAAUACUCCUUUUCAAUUCAUUGUACAUCUUUGUGCAUUCACCUGAAACCACAGACUUUGGGUUCCUGUUCAUUUACAGAAUAGAUAUAUAUUUUCCUAAACAUACAAAUGAGAGAGAUUAGGGGUCACCUAGCACUAUUGUAUCAUUUUAUUUUAGACAUGGAUAUAUGAAUUAUGUAAAAAAUAGGUAUGUGAACAUACACAUACACUCUCAUAUGCCUUUGUCAACUUGGUGCAUGUAAUAACUUGAGAAAAUAAGAAUUCACACCACCAGGCACAUUCUACUGAAAGCUCUGGGCACUCUGGAGAAUGCUUCAUGAAUGUUAUUAAUAGUAUACUUUCUGAAAGGAAAGAAGAUCUUAAUGAUUCAUCAAUGAAAAAGGACUUUCCUCAUUGUUAGAAACGAGCCGUGAA